CGGUAGAAAUCUUCAAUGGUGGGGUCAUAUUUCUCAAUGAAAGUCCCAGUGACAAACUGCACAACUGAUGAGCUUCUCUGUGCAAGGGUGCCUUUUUGGAGCAAUGUCCCCAUUCGGUCCAUUGAUAUGAACCACUUCAUUGAAUGUCUUAGACGGAAAGAAGACUGAAUAAUGAUUGGAAGAACGCCGGAGUCAUCAAGCUCUUUUGAUAACUGCAUAUGUGAACUAGGUCAAGUCACUCUCCCUCAACGGAUCACCAGUUUACCCAACUGUAAAUGGCAACAAUUUUGAACUGAACGUUCUUCCUUCUACAGCCAAAAUUCUUCGUUUGCUAGGUAGGCAAGCACUGAGAAAAGUCAUCAAGUAUCAGAAGUUACACCUAAGAAAUUGAU
rnacentral:lncRNA from 1 species